UUACGGGAGGCAGCAGUAGGGAAUCUUCCGCAAUGGACGAAAGUCUGACGGAGCAACGCCGCGUGAGUGAAGAAGGUUUUCGGAUCGUAAAACUCUGUUGUCAGAGAAGAACAAGUUGGAGAGUAACUGCUCCAGCCUUGACGGUAUCUGACCAGAAAGCCACGGCUAACUACGUGCCAGCAGCCGCGGUAAUACGUAGGUGGCAAGCGUUGUCCGGAUUUAUUGGGCGUAAAGCGAGCGCAGGCGGUUCCUUAAGUCUGAUGUGAAAGCCCACGGCUCAACCGUGGAAGGUCAUUGGAAACUGGGGAACUUGAGUGCAGAAGAGGAGAGUGGAAUUCCAUGUGUAGCGGUGAAAUGCGUAGAUAUAUGGAGGAACACCAGUGGCGAAGGCGACUCUCUGGUCUGUAACUGACGCUGAGGCUCGAAAGCGUGGGGAGCAAACAGGAUUAGAUACCCUGGUAGG
rnacentral:rRNA from 1 species